GCGGUCAUGGCGGAAUUGGCAGACGCGCAAGAUUCAGGUUCUUGUGGGUGCAAGCCCGUGGAGGUUCAAGUCCUCUUGACCGCA
rnacentral:tRNA from 1 species